UAAGAGUUUGAUCCUGGCUCAGAUUGAACGCUGGCGGCAUGCCUUACACAUGCAAGUCGAACGGCAGCACGGGGGCAACCCUGGUGGCGAGUGGCGAACGGGUGAGUAAUACAUCGGAACGUGUCCUGUAGUGGGGGAUAGCCCGGCGAAAGCCGGAUUAAUACCGCAUACGAUCUACGGAAGAAAGCGGGGGAUCGCAAGACCUCGCGCUAUAGGGGCGGCCGAUGGCAGAUUAGCUAGUUGGUGGGGUAAAGGCCUACCAAGGCGACGAUCUGUAGCUGGUCUGAGAGGACGACCAGCCACACUGGGACUGAGACACGGCCCAGACUCCUACGGGAGGCAGCAGUGGGGAAUUUUGGACAAUGGGGGAAACCCUGAUCCAGCAAUGCCGCGUGUGUGAAGAAGGCCUUCGGGUUGUAAAGCACUUUUGUCCGGAAAGAAAACUUCUGCCCUAAUACGGUGGGAGGAUGACGUA
rnacentral:rRNA from 2 species